rnacentral:rRNA from 1 species
GGGAAAGGGUCCGGGCGUUAUCCGGAUUUAUUGGGUUUAAAGGGAGCGUAGGCCGGAGAUUAAGCGUGUUGUGAAAUGUAGACGCUCAACGUCUGCACUGCAGCGCGAACUGGUUUCCUUGAGUACGCACAAAGUGGGCGGAAUUCGUGGUGUAGCGGUGAAAUGCUUAGAUAUCACGAAGAACUCCGAUUGCGAAGGCAGCUCACUGGAGCGCAACUGACGCUGAAGCUCGAAAGUGCGGGUAUCGAACAGGAUUAGAUACCCUGGUAGUCCGCACGGUAAACGAUGGAUGCCCGCUGUUGGUCUGAAUAGGUCAGCGGCCAAGCGAAAGCAUUAAGCAUCCCACCUGGGGAGUACGCCGGCAACGGUGAAACUCAAAGGAAUUGACGGGGGCCCGCACAAGCGGAGGAACAUGUGGUUUAAUUCGAUGAUACGCGAGGAACCUUACCCGGGCUUGAAUUGCAGAGGAAGGAUUUGGAGACAAUGACGCCCUUCGGGGCCUCUGUGAAGGUGCUGCAUGGUUGUCGUCAGCUCGUGCCGUGAGGUGUCGGCUUAAGUGCCAUAACGAGCGCAACCCCUCUCCUUAGUUGCCAUCAGGUGAAGCUGGGCACUCUGGGGACACUGCCACCGUAAGGUGUGAGGAAGGUGGGGAUGACGUCAAAUCAGCACGGCCCUUACGUCCGGGGCUACACACGUGUUACAAUGGCAGGUACAGAGAGACGGUCCCUUGCAAAACGGAUCAAAUCCUUAAAGCCUGUCUCAGUUCGGACUGGGGUCUGCAACCCGACCCCACGAAGCUGGAUUCGCUAGUAAUCGCGCAUCAGCCAUGGCGCGGUGAAUACGUUCCCGGGCCUUGCACACACCGCCCGU